ACCUGUAGCAGUGGUUAUCUAUAACCGCUAUGAUAGAUCUCACCUAUUAUUGAUUGUGAUAGUCCCACGUCGAUUGUGGAAGAAACGAAUGACAUAUAUAUAAUGACAUAAGUAGUCAUCCAGUUAUAGCAUGGGCUUGAGCAUUUCGUGAUCUCUUUCUCUCUACCCAGGCCCUGCCACCGCUAUCAUGCUUUGCCGACCACUGCCACCAUCCGUCGAUCGCCGAC
rnacentral:lncRNA from 1 species